ensembl:lncRNA
UUUAGUUAUACUUACCGACUUGUAUGAUCUUCCUGUUUUUCAGUCUUUAUGUGUACUUGUUAAUAAGAUGAGUAAAAUUUAAGAGUAUUUCAGUAGGCAGUGAGUCUGUGAUCCCAAAUUCAUUACCAUAUCAGCAAAUACUUUUCUUCACAUGGUAAAAAAAAAAUUUUUUUGUUUCGUUGUUUUAAAUUCAAAUAUGGCAAAAUAAGCUAGCCAGCUCUGUAUGAAAAUAUUGGUAUUCAACAUUAUGUUAAGACAUAUAUAUAUAUAUAUAUACACACACACACAUAUAUAUAUAUAUCAGAAAAAGGUUCUGUUCAGAUGAACAAAAGAAUGGGAUUCUUAUCCCACAUGAAAUUCAGGGUGAAAUUUUGAAACAUGUUCUUAUGACUAAGAAUUUUAUUUUGAGUUUUUAGUUGUUUUUUUUUAUAUGAUCUAAAAAAUGUUUUUAAAUUAGACUCAGUUUAUAUAAUUUGUUCAUUUAAGUACAAGUUUCUGAUGUAUUAUUUAAUGGACUUUUAUUUUUCUGCCACAUGCGAUUUCUAACUAGAGCAUGAAAUUUCUGGAUUUGGUGAGAAAGGGCAUGUAAACUAAAGUGUUUAAUUUCUAAGCAUUAGAUGCAAUUAUGUUUUGAUUUUUGUUGUAUUUUGAUUUUGACAUAUUAAAGUUAGGUUUGUUUGGUAUCUGCAUUUUGACAGAAUAAGACUAGAACAAAUAAGGUCUUUGCCUAAAGGUAUAUUUGUCCUCUGAGUAAAUGCAGACUUGGAAAUAAAACCAGGUCUUUUAACUUCUAAUUCACUUUUUUUUCUCCAUUAGUCAACCUAUUUGUAAUGGUGAAUUUUGUAGGCUGAACACAUAUUUUCCUGGAAACACAUAUUCUAACCUUACUUGAUAAGUUCUUUAUUUCCAAAAUGAAUACAUUUCUCCUAAUUGAAUCGUAUUUUGCAAAAUGAUGUUUAUAAAUUUAAUUUGAAAAAUAUUUGCUGAUUCCCACAGCAGAUAAGUCUAAGUGAAUUGGACAUAAUAACUACUAGGAUGAAUGAUUUUGCACAAUAUCUAUUGUUACAGAAAUAUGUGAGUCAUUAAAAUAAUACUCACCAUAACUUGUUUGUAGAAUCCAUGUGUCAAUAUCCCAUUAAUUCUUUUUAUUUUGCUUAUAUUCAUGGUUUGUUUUAGAAGCAUCAUUCACUUACUUGUUUUCUCAAAGUAUAACACCAGAGCAUAGAGUGUGCAACACAAAUUUGUUAAAUUAUUAAUUUAAGAGAAAUUUUUGCUAUUGUAUAUAACCUUGAGGAGAAGGAGCACCCCAGCAGUAUUUGUUGAUCUAAGAAUCUGAAGAUGAGAUUCGUAUUCAUAGAAUACGAUUUAUCUAAAAAAUUCUUGCUUUUGAAAUGGUCAUUUCACCUAUUUAAACAAUGCUAAAAUCUACAACAGAUGUCUGGCAACAAUAAGACUAGAGUUUAUUUUUAGAGAUACUAUCUACUUGCAGCCUCUUCUUAUCUAGAUAUUUCUAGACUUUUCCCUUUUGAUUUCAUUCCAGAAAAAAACAAAAAAGUACUUCUGAAUACAAAAUCCCUGGUGAAGGGAAAGAGUGGUUGCUAUUAGGAUUUCACUCAAAGUGUAAAAACAGUACUCUCAGUAUUUGUUUGCUUAUUUCAUUAAGAAUAUUUACUCUAAGAACAUCCUUCAAUAAAAGUUUUGAUAACUGAUGUGUCAGAAUAAAAUUUUUCAUAAACAAGGCCUUAAAUACAUUUGCUGUAUCUGUGACAUGUUUGGAUGUUCUUGGUUAGAUUCAACUAAACUGACAUCAUAGUCAGUGACAUGUUUGGAUCUGUUUGGUUAAAUACAGCUAACCUGAUAUCCAGAUACUAAAUGUUCAUUGUCAUUGUGUCGGGGUGGGGUGGUGGUGUCUGCAGCUACAGUGGGUAUGUCAGUGUAAUAUAAGGUCCUUUCUUUGUAAUGAUAAAAAUGAUGUCACACAUUACUAAUGUAUUAGGCAUAGAAAUUCCUUUGUUGAAGAUGGAAGAGCAGGAUCUUUUCAGAUAUUUACUAAACUUUACAUUUGAUUUCAAGCUUUUAAUUUAAAAGCACAUUCCUCCAAAUAUUUUAAACUAGCAUGUUGAUUUAUAUUUCUAAGAAUGAAUAAUUUCCCAUUUAAAAAAAAUUUUUGAAAACAUUCUAUUUACUACAUAUAUUUCUUAAACCCAUGUUUUUUCUUAUCCCAUUAUUACCUUUGGGCAAAUAUUAAAAGUAAGAUUACUGGGAUGAAAGUUAUACCUAAUGACGUUUCUAAUAAGACAGACAAAGGCAUUUCUUGGCAAUAGCUUCAUCUAGCUAAAUUUUGCAAGAAUUCUUCAGGGAUUGGAUUUAAGGGUUAAUCUAUAGAAUUAUUUUUUAAAUAUAAAUUAUACUUUAGGCUGUAUUUUUAUGAUUUUUAAGUAAUAAAAUUUUAAUGUAGUUAGUUCUGUAGGCAUCCUAUCAUACUGUCUCAUGGUCUAUCAACUGUAAUUACUAUUUUAGUGAAUUAAGGAGAAAAAUUGCUUUGCUUGACACCAAAGGUAAUCCAGUCAGUUGUUCCUACAUGACUGAAAUCAUGAUUGUAUAUUUGAUUUUCUUUAAAAAAAUCAAUAAAAUAUAAUUCAUGUAAAUGCCUGUCAAUGUUUAAAGAUAGAACCCUCUUCUUUCUGCCUUCUUACAGAUGAAUGUACUUAAAGUGACUGUGAUUUGACCGUGGAAUAUAUAUUUAUGUCUGUAAUUUUUGUAUAUGUAGUACUGAACUAUGCAAAUAAAACAUGUGGGAGGAAAUUAACCAAAAAUGAAAGAGCUUGGAAUUUUCAUACAACUAUGUAUUUUGUUUUUAAUCUAAACAGUGUUAUAGUUGCUGUUGUUUAGUUUCUGAGUCAUGUCUAAUUCCUUGCAAUGAUUUAUUUAAAUCAGGAAUAUAUUAUAUUGUUGAUCAUUUUUAAAGUAUACUUAGUUCAAUAUGUUCCAACUUCAUUUUUAAGCAAGCUUGUUUGACUACUGAGUCAUUUACUGCCUUUCAUUUAUACUAUGAUAUCAUAGGGACAAGUAGUUUAGAGAAAUCUCUAUGGUGGUUUCUAAGUUUCACUGUAUAACUAACUUGGAACUAGGUGUUGAAUUACUCAGUGGAGCACAUAUUUUGCCUGCAGUUUUGGAUAUAUUUUCAAAUUUAUCUCUUUCCUACUAGACUGUGAGCUCCUUGUGGACAAGGAUAUUAUCUUAGUUAUAAUAACAACCUUAAUGUCUAGCAAAGUACCAGGCACAAAAUAAUUCUUUAAUUGAAGUGAAUUGAUGGACCCAGAUUAUUGAAUAAAUAGUACAGUAUUCUAUGAUGCUGGCUGAAUGUAUAUUAGAAAAUUUUCUGGCUAAUUUUUAAAAACUCAAUGUAUACCAAAGGAAUUUUCUGGCUAGUUUUUAAAGAUUGGGAAAACAAACAAGCAGCAUUUUCCAUAUCUUAAAAUUGAGACUCUAUUGUGAAGAUUUAUCUUUAUUUUAUGAGUAAACAGUCUAUGCAAAUGUUGAAAUAUGCAACAGCUCAACUUCAUGGUACAUAGUAGCUAGUUUUAUUUUCUUUACAAAAUCAGAAAUACUCGAGGUAGACUUCCUGGAAAUAGACAUUGACAAUCAUUAAGAAAAGGUGCUACUUAUUUUCUAGUAUUUACCUUGAUUAUAAAUGCCCCUGUCUGCCUGAGCUUUAUUUCUUCCAUUUUGGGGGGAGUUGCAGGGGGAGGAGUGCAAAAAAAAAAAAUUUCAUCUUUUUUGUCUGAAUUAUGAAAUUUUGCACUGAAUAUGUUCCUGUGUACUCUAUUAUUAUUGUAUUUUAAUUAUUUAUUUCUUACUGCUCACUAAUUUUUAUUUCAGCCUAUGCUAUUUCUGAGAAGGUAUGUGCAUAUAUAUUUAUAUAAUAUGUAAGAAAAAAACUGCAUUGCAUUGCUUAUUAAAUCAAAAUGAUGAAUAAAUGUUUAUGUUAAAUUUUG